AACAUCCCAACAUCCCAACAGUAGGUAUUUACAAGAACAAUCAAUUGGCGGAUCUGUGGACGAAACUUUCGCCAGACUGACUCAACUGUAGCUGACCUCCCCCCUCCUUUUUUUUUUUUCGCAUCUUCUCGUCACUUGCCGAGGCCUUGCUGUCUCACCCAUAUAGCUUAAUUCACAUUCUUACUGAAUGAAGCGGGUAGCAUGCUACCUUUCCCUCAAAAAAAAACAUUCCAACUGCAUUAAA
rnacentral:lncRNA from 1 species